AGAACAAACUUUAUUCACGUAUGGGAUUAAAAUAGAUACCCGUUGCGACAUUACCUAUGGAAAUGAAAUUAUUCGUAAGGUAUGGCAUAAAAAUUAAAUCGAAGUUUAAGAUGUAGCAUUGAAUUCCAAUGAAUUUAAUAGUGCAUCUUUUAAUUAAAAUGAACGUCGAAUUAUUUUGUGAAUCAUUUCUAUGCGAUACACCGCAUUAAAAUACAUUGCAUUUUAAAUGUGCUUAUACAUACAAUGGAAAUUCGGUCUGCAUAAAAUGUAACGCAUAAAAAUAAGACACAAAUUUAAUGUAUCAAAUGGAAAUGGUAUGAAUGAAAACUACUCUGCAUGCAAAUGCGCAGUUACGUUAGAGAAGGAAAGUAGCCGUAGGUCGUAGGUACGUUUUAUUUGCGGUUGCGCAAAAACAAAACAGCUGUUAUUGAUUGUUACUUACAUCGAACGUAUAAAUGGAUUAUUUAUACGUUCAUCAAUUUUGAGAAGGCAAGCGAUUUAUUGGGUUAUUUACGUCGGUCACACGUGACCUUUACAGUUUUUACGUACAUAUUCGGAUUUGCACCUGCUGCACAAUAUUGUUUAAUAUAAAGCAAGAAAAAGGCCGAUGGAAAUCGAAAGAUGUGCAAGAGGCGCCGGGUCCCCUUAACAAUAAAUUGGAGGUGUACGCUGUCGCUAUAAAAAGUUACAGGUUCGUGGGAAUUAAUAAUGGAUAAAGAGUCCAGAGAUAAACCGUUAAUGGAACGAAGCUCAUGUUCUACGACUCUUGUAAGGAACAAGCACAUCGACAAGUUGAUGCUCCUUCGUAAUGGAAAUUGUGUCGAGUUCAAUCGUGAUAUAUCUACUAACACGAUAAGUUAAAUAUGUAAUCUCCAUUGAAUGAGAGAUUUGUAUAUUUACAAGAUGCUAAUACAUGUACCUGUGUAGAAACACGAGCACGUGAGACAUUGUUAGACACGUAUCUUGUUCUGUUUGAUGGGUGCACCGUAGUAUGUAAACGAUGACGUCGCUAACAAAGUUACACAAAGAUUGUCAAAAAAAAUUUGUAUCCUGAUAAUUAAACGAUUAUCCUAUUCGUCA